AUACGGAGGGUGCAAGCGUUACUCGGAAUCACUGGGCGUAAAGCGCGCGCAGGCGGCUAUUUAAGUUGGAUGUGAAAGCCUACGGCUCAACCGUAGAACUGCAUCCAAAACUAUUUAGCUAGAGUGUGGGAGAGGAAGAUGGAAUUAGUUGUGUAGGGGUAAAAUCCGUAGAGAUAACUAGGAAUACCAAAAGCGAAGGCAAUCUUCUGGAACACUACUGACGCUGAGGCGCGAAAGCGUGGGGAGCAAACGGGACUAGAAACCCUAGUAGUCC
rnacentral:rRNA from 1 species